rnacentral:rRNA from 1 species
UACGUAGGGCGCAAGCGUUGUCCGGAAUUAUUGGGCGUAAAGAGCUCGUAGGCGGUUUGUCGCGUCGGCUGUGAAAACCCGAGGCUCAACCUCGGGCCUGCAGUCGAUACGGGCAGACUAGAGUGUGGUAGGGGAGACUGGAAUUCCUGGUGUAGCGGUGAAAUGCGCAGAUAUCAGGAGGAACACCGGUGGCGAAGGCGGGUCUCUGGGCCAUAACCGACGCUGAGGAGCGAAAGCGUGGGGAGCGAACAGG